rnacentral:ncRNA from 1 species
AGUUUAAUCGUUGUCAAAUUAAAGAUGGUUAGUAAAUCAUACCUGAGCAAGAGAGAUGAGACGAGAAGAAAUUCUGAUCGAUGUCCGAAACAAUUCUGACAUGCAAAUCGAUCAAAUUUGACUUUAGUAUAAAGGGGAAAAACUAAUCGAAUUAUUUAGUACCUGCUUUCUUCUGCAAUUUCCCUCAGGAUAGCUGGAGUACGUAAUGAAGCUGUUAUAUUCGGUAAAACGAAUGAUUUAGAGGAAUUGUGGGACGAAACAUCUUCAAAUUAUUCGUCAACUUUCAAUGAGUAUGACAUCUUGCUUGCUUGAAUGAAGCGUAAACAUUGAAUGUGUAUUACACGUACGUCAUUUUUGGUAAACAGAAUUGACGCUUUGUUUAGAAUCUAAGCAUCAAGUAUAAUGCCAUCUUUUUCUGUUGGGAUAAUUUUCAAAUCACAAAUGUUUAUGUGAAACACAAUAAUUGUGCAGGU